rnacentral:rRNA from 1 species
GAUGAACGCUGGCGGCGUGCCUAAUACAUGCAAGUCGAGCGAAUGGAUUAAGAGCUUGCUCUUAUGAAGUUAGCGGCGGACGGGUGAGUAACACGUGGGUAACCUGCCCAUAAGAAUGGGAUAACUACGGGAAACCGGGGCUACUACCGGAUAACAUUUUGAACCGCAUGGGUCGAAAUUGAAAGGCGGCUUCGGCUGUGCCUUAUGGAUGGACCCGCGUCGCAUUAGCAAGUUGGUGAGGUAACGGCUCACCAAGGCAACGAUGCGUAGCCGACCUGAGAGGGUGAUCGGCCACACUGGGACUGAGACACGGCCCAGACUCCUACGGGAGGCAGCAGUAGGGAAUCUUCCGCAAUGGACGAAAGUCUGACGGAGCAACGCCGCGUGAGUGAUGAAGGCUUUCGGGUCGUAAAACUCUGUUGUUAGGGAAGAACAAGUGCUAGUUGAAUAAGCUGGCACCUUGACGGUACCUAACCAGAAAGCCACGGCUAACUACGUGCCAGCCGCCGCAGUAA